CGUACACUCCUGCGGGAGGCAGCAGUGGGGAAUUUUGGACAAUGGGCGAAAGCCUGAUCCAGCCAUGCCGCGUGCAGGAUGAAGGCCUUCGGGUUGUAAACUGCUUUUGUACGGAACGAAACGGCCUUUUCUAAUAAAGAGGGCUAAUGACGGUACCGUAAGAAUAAGCACCGGCUAACUACGUGCCAGCAGCCGCGGUAAUACGUAGGGUGCAAGCGUUAAUCGGAAUUACUGGGCGUAAAGCGUGCGCAGGCGGUUAUGUAAGACAGUUGUGAAAUCCCCGGGCUCAACCUGGGAACUGCAUCUGUGACUGCAUAGCUAGAGUACGGUAGAGGGGGAUGGAAUUCCGCGUGUAGCAGUGAAAUGCGUAGAUAUGCGGAGGAACACCGAUGGCGAAGGCAAUCCCCUGGACCUGUACUGACGCUCAUGCACGAAAGCGUGGGGAGCAAACAGGAUUAGAUACCCCAGUAGUCCCAUG
rnacentral:rRNA from 1 species